AGCACGCGAUGGGACAGGGAGGGAAGACACAUCAGUUUUUGGUCACUCGUUAGCGUGGGGAAAGAGAGCAGAGCAUCUUUUAUUUCCUGGGUGAACAGAGCCAGGUGAUGCAGAAUAACUCCGACUCCAGGAAAAAAAAAAAAACCCACGAAA